rnacentral:lncRNA from 1 species
CGCAAGUUCCGGGUGGGCGCAGGCUCAGCAGGCCCAGCAGUUGGAGCGGCAGACAGAUGCCUCUGGCCCCUGACAGUGAGGGGCUUAGCACCUGGGCCAGCAGCUGUGGAGGGUGUGCCAGUUCCCCCAGCACUGCAGGCCCACUGUCGCUGGCACUGGAAUUCUUGCUGGGCCUCAGCUGCCUCCCCCCAGAGCAGGGCUCAGGACCUGCAGCCUGCCAGGCCCGAGCCUCCCCCUGGGAGCCCCAGUGGGCUCCUGCGCAGCCGGAGCCUCCCCCAGGGGUGUUGCCCCCUGCUCUGCUGUGCCUGUUCCCAUUGACUGCCCAAGGGCUGAGGAGUGCCCACGUGAGGCCUGGGACUGACGGACAACUCUUCCCCUGGCCCAGCAGCGGCAUCCACUAGGCAAAGCCAGCUGCUCCUGAGUUGGGUGGGGACUUGCACAACUUUUACUUCUACUGGAGGAUUGUAUAUGCAACAAUCACCACUCUGUGUCUAGCUCGGGGUUUGUGGAUGCACCAAUCAGUACUCUGUAUCUAGCUAAUAUGGUGGUGACUUGGAGAACUUUUAUGUCUAGCUCAAGGAUUGUAAACACACAAUCAGCACUUUUUGUCUAGCUCAGGGAUUGUAAAUGCACCAUUCAGCACUCUCUCAAAAUGGACCAAUCGGCUCUCUGUAAAAUGGACCAAUCAGCUCUCUGUAAAAUAGACCAAUCAGCUCUCUGUAAAAUGGACCAAUCAGCACAAUGUGUGUGGGAUCAGAUAAGGGAAUAAAAGCAGGCUGCCUGAGCUAGAAGCUGCAACCUGCUGGGAUCCCCUUCCAUGCAGUGGGAGCUUUGUUCUUAUGCUCUUUGCAAUAAAUCUUGCUGCUGCUCACUCUUUGGGUCCACGUUGCCUUUAUGAGCUGUAACACUCACUGCAAAGGUCUGCAGCUUCACUCCUGAGGCCAUUAAGACUACGAACCCACCCGGAGGAAUGAGCAACUCCGGAGGGGGAGAAGGAACAACUCCAGAAGCACCACCUUAAGAGCUGUUAACACUUAACCAGGAAGGUCUGCAGCUUCACUCCUGAAGCCAGGGAGACCACAAAGCCACCAGAAGGAAGAAACUCCAAACACAUCCAAAUAUCAGAAGGAAUAAACUUAGGACACACCAUCUUUAAGAACUGUAACACUCACUGCAAGGGUCCGCAGCUUCAUUCUUGAAGUCAGUGAGACCAAGAACACGCCAGUUCUGGACACAAUUUCAUCAGGAAUCGUAUUACCAGUUGCAGGAAGUAUGUAGCAGUGAGGGAAAAUUAGGGACCCGACUUUUAGGUCAGAACACUACGAAAGAGUACCUAUAAAAAUUUGAGAAUGGGAGGAGAACAGCAGAAGGGAUAGAAACGGAAAAGGGGAGCCUUAAAAUUAUGUUGCAACUCAUCUUCAAGCUACAUGUGCCUGAUGAUGGAUGGAAUUAAGCACCCAGUUUUUAGAACUGAAUUACUAUGGGCUGGGUGCAGUGGCUUACACUUGUAAUUCCAGCACUUUGGGAGGUUGAGGCAGGCAGAUCAAGGUCAGGAGACCGAGACCAUCCUGGUUAACAUGGUGAAACCCCGUCUCUACUAAAAAAAAAAAAAAAAAAAAAAAAAAAA